rnacentral:lncRNA from 1 species
CGCCUCCGUUUAUUGACCCACGACCCAGCAAGGGGUCCCCCCAACGACGCCCCCUCACCCCUCUCCCUGUGCCCGCCGGCCCCACGCCUCCUCGGGGGGCUCCAGCUUGGCUGCCCCCGGCCCCUCCAAGCGCAGAGCAUCCCCGUCUCCGGGGGAGCCGGCAGAGGAAUCCCCCUCCCCGAGGCGGAAGAGCACCGGCGUUCGGCCAAGGACGGGGUUGGUCUGCUGCAGCCCCGCGAUCCACUUGGCCAAGGUGUGCUGGUUGCCAUCCCCUGCCAUGCACAGCGCGAAGACGGGGCCCUCCUCCACCUCAUCCACAUCGAACUCGUCGUCGUCCCACGGGCCACGCUCCAGGUCCAGGUCAAGGUACAGGGGAUAGUAAAGGCUGCGCUCAGGGUCAGGGGGAGGUUCCCGCAGAUGGGGGGGGAGAGGGUCCCCCCGCAGCACGUAGUAGAGCAGGCGGGUGCUGCGCAGCCACAGUGGGAAAGGGCCCUCCACAAAGACGGGGCGUUCCGGGCCAUGCCGGGCCAGCAGCUCCUGCUGUUCUGCGCUCUGGAUGCCGACGAUGUAGGGCUGCGUAGAGCCCUCGUCGUCCCCCUCCUCUGGCUGGGGCUGCUGGUAGACACUCAGCCGGGCGUCGGGGUCAUUGGCGAUGCGACGCAGACCCAGGCAGGCUGCAGCCAGGCCGGGAGGGGGCAACUGAGCCGGCAGUGGGUAGGGGUUGGCAUGGCGCAUCCGUGGCAGCCAGUAGAGCAUCCGCUGGCACUUCCGCACAGGACGACUGCGGGGCCCAAAGAUGGCCAGCAGCAGGAAGCGCGUCUCCGCAUCCGGCACCACACCGUAUCUCUCCAUCUGCUCCAGGACCUGCAGGCCGCAUUCCUGCUGCCUUGGAAAGGGGGCGAAGAGGCGGUGGAGGGGUCCCCGUGGCACCCACGGCCCGCGGGGCAGCAGCCGCAGCAGCCGGUUGUAGGCGUCCAGCUGCCGGGCCACCCCCAGUGCCGGCAUGGCCGCCAGCGCCGCUGCCACCAGCUCCAGGCGCCCCAGCCUCCGGCCCGGCGUCCGCUCCAGCUCCGUUAACGCUGCCGCAAAGGCGGCGGGGCCGCCCCCCGGCUCCUCAUCCCGUGCUGUGGGCUGCGGGCCGCGGUCGGACGGUGGCUCCGGGCCGCUGUCGGCGCUGCGGUGGCACAUGGGGCGAGCGGCCUUCGGGGCCCCGCAGCCCCCCCACAGCCUCAGGGGGAGCGCCCGGGCCCAGCUCAGCCUCAUGGCGCCGAUGUUCGGAUCCGACCGCCUCUCAGCAGCCUCCGGGCGCCGCCAUUGCGCUGAC